rnacentral:rRNA from 1 species
GCAAAACCGAGACGGUGAGUACUAACCUCCGCCUCGUGGUGGUUCCUUCCUUCGGGUUGGUUCCGCCGCGUGGUGUUGGGAGCGUAGCCGCAGUAGGUCAGCGCAGGGGUGACACGGAAUGGGAGCCGGCCGCGGAGGUGGUUUUCCGUGGUCAAGCACGCAGCCAGUCAUGUAGGCAAAUCCGCAUGGCGUGCAUGGCGAGGUGUGAUGAUGGGAGCCGUUAUGGCUCGAUAUCCGGUUGUCCAGGCCGUCGAGAAAAGCCUCGGCGUGAGGGCCAUGGCCGCCCGUACCCCAAACCGACACUGGUGGUCAGGUAGAGAAUACCAAAGCGAUCGAGCGAAUCCUGGUCAAGGAACUCGGCAAAUCACUCCCGUGCCUUCGGUAUAAGGGAGACCCACUGGGGUGAAGGACCUUGCGUCCGGAGCUUUGGUGGGUGGCACAGACCAGGGGGUAGCGACUGUUUACCAAAAACACAGGUGCAUGCGAAGGCGAAAGCCGCUGUAUAUGCACUGACGCCUGCCCGGUGCCGGAAGGUUAAGAGGAUCCGUCAGUCCUUCGGGAUGAAGCGGUGAAUUCAAGCCCCGGUAAACGGCGGUGGUAACUAUAACCAUCCUAAGGUAGCGAAAUUCCUUGUCGGGUAAGUUCCGACCUGCACGAAUGGCGUAACGACUUCCCCACUGUCUCGACCAGGAGCUCGGCGAAAUUGCAGUACGAGUAAAGAUGCUCGUUAAGCGCAGAAGGACGAAAAGACCCCGGGACCUUUACUAUACCUUGGUAUUGGCGUUAGGCGCGGAUUGUGUAGCAUAGGCGGGAGGCUUCGAAGCGUGGGCGCCAGCUCAUGUGGAGCCGCAAGGUGAAAUACCGCUCUGUUCUCGUUUGACGUCUAACCUCGACAAGUCAUCCUUGUCAGGGACAGUGCCUGGCGGGUAGUUCAACUGGGGCGGUUGCCUCCCAAAGAGUAACGGAGGCGCUCAAAGGUCCGCUCAGCCCGGUUGGCAAUCGGGUGUCGAGUGUAAUCGCACAAGCGGGCUUGACUGCGAGGACGACGGUCCGAGCAGGGACGAAAGUCGGAGAUAGUGAUCCGGUGCCGGCGCACGGGCGCGGCAUCGCUCAACGGAUAAAAGGUACUCCGGGGAUAACAGGCUGAUCAUUCCCAAGA